rnacentral:rRNA from 1 species
UACGGGAGGCAGCAGUGGGGAAUAUUGCACAAUGGGCGAAAGCCUGAUGCAGCUAUGCCGCGUGUAUGAAGAAGGCCUUAGGGUUGUAAAGUACUUUCAUCGGGGAGGAAAAACAAAACUAAUAAUUUUAUUUCUUGACGUUACCCGAAAAAGAAGCACCGGCUAACUCCGUGCCAGCAGCCGCGGUAAUACGGAGGGUGCUAGCGUUAAUCAGAAUUACUGGGCGUAAAGAGCACGUAGGUGGUUUUUUUAAGUCAGAUGUGAAAUCCCUGGGCUUAACCUGGAACUGCAUUUUGAAACUGAAAUACUAGAGUAUCGUAGAGGGAGGUAGAAUUCUAGGUGUAGCGGUGAAAUGCGUAGAUAUCUGGAGGAAUACCUGUGGCGAAAGCGGCCUCCUAAACGAAUACUGACACUGAGGUGCGAAAGCGUAGGGAGCAAACAGGGAUUAGACUACCCGU